rnacentral:rRNA from 1 species
UACGUAGGGACCAAGCGUUGUUCGGAUUUAUUGGGCGUAAAGAGCGUGUAGGCGGCCAGGUAGGUCUGCUGUGAAAACUCGAGGCUCAACCUCGAGACGUCGGCGGAAACCAUCUGGCUAGAGUCCGGAAGAGGAGAGUGGAAUUCCUGGUGUAGCGGUGAAAUGCGCAGAUAUCAGGAAGAACACCCGUGGCUAAGGCGGCUCUCUAGUACGGUACUGACGCUGAGACGCGAAAGCGUGGGGAGCGAACAGG